GAUGAACGCUGGCGGCGUGCCUAAUACAUGCAAGUCGAGCGAACGGACGAGAAGCUUGCUUCUCUGAUGUUAGCGGCGGACGGGUGAGUAACACGUGGAUAACCUACCUAUAAGACUGGGAUAACUUCGGGAAACCGGAGCUAAUACCGGAUAAUAUUUUGAACCGCAUGGUUCAAAAGUGAAAGACGGUCUUGCUGUCACUUAUAGAUGGAUCCGCGCUGCAUUAGCUAGUUGGUAAGGUAACGGCUUACCAAGGCAACGAUGCAUAGCCGACCUGAGAGGGUGAUCGGCCACACUGGAACUGAGACACGGUCCAGACUCCUACGGGAGGCAGCAGUAGGGAAUCUUCCGCAAUGGGCGAAAGCCUGACGGAGCAACGCCGCGUGAGUGAUGAAGGUCUUCGGAUCGUAAAACUCUGUUAUUAGGGAAGAACAUAUGUGUAAGUAACUGUGCACAUCUUGACGGUACCUAAUCAGAAAGCCACGGCUAACUACGUGCCAGCAGCCGCGGUAAUACGUAGGUGGCAAGCGUUAUCCGGAAUUAUUGGGCGUAAAGCGCGCGUAGGCGGUUUUUUAAGUCUGAUGUGAAAGCCCACGGCUCAACCGUGGAGGGUCAUUGGAAACUGGAAAACUUGAGUGCAGAAGAGGAAAGUGGAAUUCCAUGUGUAGCGGUGAAAUGCGCAGAGAUAUGGAGGAACACCAGUGGCGAAGGCGACUUUCUGGUCUGUAACUGACGCUGAUGUGCGAAAGCGUGGGGAUCAAACAGGAUUAGAUACCCUGGUAGUCCACGCCGUAAACGAUGAGUGCUAAGUGUUAGGGGGUUUCCGCCCCUUAGUGCUGCAGCUAACGCAUUAAGCACUCCGCCUGGGGAGUACGACCGCAAGGUUGAAACUCAAAGGAAUUGACGGGGACCCGCACAAGCGGUGGAGCAUGUGGUUUAAUUCGAAGCAACGCGAAGAACCUUACCAAAUCUUGACAUCCUUUGACAACUCUAGAGAUAGAGCUUUCCCCUUCGGGGGACAAAGUGACAGGUGGUGCAUGGUUGUCGUCAGCUCGUGUCGUGAGAUGUUGGGUUAAGUCCCGCAACGAGCGCAACCCUUAAGCUUAGUUGCCAUCAUCAAGUUGGGCACUCUAAGUUGACUGCCGGUGACAAACCGGAGGAAGGUGGGGAUGACGUCAAAUCAUCAUGCCCCUUAUGAUUUGGGCUACACACGUGCUACAAUGGACAAUACAAAGGGCAGCGAAACCGUGAGGUCAAGCAAAUCCCAUAAAGUUGUUCUCAGUUCGGAUUGUAGUCUGCAACUCGACUACAUGAAGCUGGAAUCGCUAGUAAUCGUAGAUCAGCAUGCUACGGUGAAUACGUUCCCGGGUCU
rnacentral:rRNA from 1 species